rnacentral:rRNA from 1 species
CAGUAGCCACGGUAAUACGAAGGGGGCUAGCGUUGCUCGGAAUUACUGGGCGUAAAGGGAGCGUGGGCAGAUCGAUUAGUCAGGGGUGAAAUCCCGGGGCUCAACCUCGGAACUGCCUUUGAUACUGUCGAUCUUGAGUAUGGGAGAGGUGUGUGGAACUCCGAGUGUAGAGGUGAAAUUCGUAGAUAUUCGGAAGAACACCAGUGGCGAAGGCGACACACUGGCCCAUUACUGACGCUGAGGCUCGAAAGCGUGGGGAGCAAACAGGAUUAGAUACCCCAGUAGUCCCUGUCUCUUAUAC